rnacentral:rRNA from 1 species
GAUGAACGCUGGCGGCGUGCCUAAUACAUGCAAGUCGAGCGAACAGACGAGGAGCUUGCUCCUCUGACGUUAGCGGCGGACGGGUGAGUAACACGUGGAUCACCUCCCUAUAAGACUGGGAUAACUUCGGGAAACCGGAGCUAAUACCGGAUAAUAUAUUGAACCGCAUGGUUCAAUAGUGAAAGACGGUUUUGCUGUCACUUAUAGCUGGUUCCGCGCCUCAUUAGCUAGUUGGUAAGGUAACGGCUUACCAAGGCAACGAUGCGUAGCCGACCUGAGAGGGUGAUCGGCCACACUGGAAGUGAGACACGGACCAGACUCCUACGGGAGGCAGCAGUAGGGAAUCUUCCGCAAUGGGCGAAAGCCUGACGGAGCAACGCCGCGUGAGUGAUGAAGGUCUUCGGAUCGUAAAACUCGGUUAUUAGGGAAGAACAAAUGUGUAAGUAACUAUGCACGUCUUGACGGUACCUAAUCAGAAAGCCACGGCUAACUACGUG